GGGAGUCUGCUUCUCCUGCUGCCCGUCCUCCAGCUCGUGCUCUCUCUCUCUCAAAUAAAUAAAUAUUAAAAAAAAAAAAUGAAGCCUAAGGGUUUACAGUUUACCCAGUUUUUAAAAUAGUGAACAAUUAAAAUGGAAUCUUAACAUCAACAAAGACUCGGUUGUCUUUUUGUGUACACUCAGCCUUAUCAAUAGAAACUUAACUGCUUUCUCAUUUCACUAAGUCAUAGUUCUUUUGACAAUCUGUCAUUUGAUUUUGGGACAUAAACUAUUUUGUUGAGCUUAGAAAAUAACCAAUUACAUACCUGUCACGUGUAUAACCCAACUUAGGUUCAGUAUAAUUAAUAAUAUCUUCUGCUGCCCAGGAUGGUGACUGGUUUCCACAAAGAAUCAUUUGGACUUCUUCAUGGCUGAAGGAACUUAAUUUCUCCAUUGGAAAAACUUUGUUAAAUCCAUCUACAUUAUAAACAGCAAAAAAACAAAAACAAUAAAACACACAACUCAAUUUCUAAGUUAUAAUUUCAAAAUACCAAAUUUCAAAUCAAAAUACCUAAUAUCAACUAAAGGGACAGAAUAUGAAUCAAAUAUUAAUAAAUGUUUGAAAAAAAAACAAAUUAAAAUAGCUUGAAAUCAAAGCUUUUUAGUACAGAAAUUUCAUUUAAUACGCAAAUGUGAACAGAAAUAUUCAGUCACUAUGGUCAGUAGUCAAAUUCUAGUAAUUUCUUAACUAGCUCUUUGUGUCUUAACAAGCUAGCUAAAGCUGUAGUCCCAUGUUCAAAACUAGUAUGUGAUGGGGAUCCCUGGGUGGCUGUGGUUGAGCGUCUGCCUUCAGCCAAGGGCCUGAUCCUGGAGACCCGAGAUCAAUUCCCACAUCGGGCUCCCCUGCAUGGAGCCUGCUUCUCCCUCUGCCUGUGUCUCUACCUCUCUCUCUCUCUCUCUCUCUCUGUGUCUCUCACAAAUAAAUAAAAAUAAAAUCUUUAAAAACAACAACAAAAAACUAGUAUGUGAUGAACAGUCUCUCGUAUUUUGCUUCAAUUUUACCUGGAGAACUUAGGUUCCAACAUGGUUUAAUUCAUCCUGAUCAUGAAAGUGUAAAGUAUGCAACCUUAUAUCCAUGUACAAAUGAAUGAAAUGUAGGCCAAAAAUGAAUCCUCCAUUACUCAGGAGCAACAAGCUGAGGGUAUGCCACAGCUUGAGAAUGUCCCAACCUGUUCCGGGUACUCUGCAGGACCUAACUAUUUGUAAGACAGAAAACCAGAGGGCCAAUCUAGAGAUUACCUGCAAUUCUUGACAAAAGAAGUGCCUUAAUUUCAACUGUCUCAAAGUAAAAGAAUGAUUAAUAAGGUAAAGAGCCCUAAAAUUUACCUCUAAAGGCUUCCAUCUGUUUCUGAAUACCCGUAUGCAUACAAAAGUCAAACAUCAAAUCCACAUACUCUUCUGCAUUAUCCAUUGUUAUCAUCUACAAAGGAAAAUUAGCCAACAUUAUUGUUAAUAUCUAGGAAUAUUUCAGCAGCACCUACUACAACUGGCCUCAGUAAGAGGAUGUUCUGAGCUUACAACUAUAUCAAAAGCAAAAUUUUUAUUACCUCAUCUUCCCCACUUGGCUUGAGAUCCACAGCUGUAAAACCAUAUAUUCUUGAGGAAGGGCAAAACUGGAAAUUUAAACUAGGAAGACAAAAAGGAUUGGAUGAACAUUCAGCUAUCAUUGAUGUUUAAUUUUUUAAAACACCGCUGCCAAAACUAUGAAUCUCCUGCCUCCUCCACAGCCCACCCCUGCACCCUUCCAACAAAAACAGUACACCAGCUCAGAUGUUAAGUAUGAGGCCUUUUGAAUGCAAAAACUCUGCACAAAAACUAUUAGGCCAACUGUUACCAAACCUGUCUUUGCAAAGAUUGCACGAAACCACCACCUUUCCAUAUUGUGCUUCCCCCUUAGGGCACACAAUUAAUAAAGUAAGGGUUUUUGCAAAAAAUUACAGCAGCAACAUCUUUACUUUUUUUUUUUUCCAAGAAGAAUCUAUUGCUUUGCUAAAGUUAUUCAUCCUCUCUCCCUACCCUCAAAUCAAGCCUUCAAUAUAUAAUAACUUAUCAAACAAAACUUCUCAACACUAACAAGAAAGAAAGAAGAAAACAAGACUCAGUCAACCCAAAAUCACAGUAAAACAUACCAAGAGUAUAAUCAUUACAUGUAUACAAAUUAACAGAAUUUUAUUACAAGAUGUGUAGCAUUUGGUUGGCUAAGCCAUUGGGCAUAAGGCCUACAUAUAAAGCACACUAUUUUAAGUUUUGCCAAGUAUACUACAUGUAUUAACUAGCCAUGAUUUCUCAAAAAUAUUUUUGGGUUUGGACUUUCAUAAGAUAUAUACAUUAAUCAUAUUCAAUAAAUCAGAUAAUCUUCCAGAGAUCUAAUGAUUAAAGCAUUAUGUUCUGGUAUUCUGAGUGUGGUCUUUAUAAUAUGAACUAUUCAAAGAUUCAAAUCGGUACUAUUUCCCCCAGCAUAUUAUUGUUCUUAACAGACUAUUUAACUUAUACAUUGCAUAUUAGUGGGUACAAAGAAACAAAAGCUUUAAAAUUUAUUCAUCCAUUAGGUUGAUGAACAUAUAUAUAUAUAUAAAACUUACCCUAAAUCCUCUAUGCUAAGUGGAGGCCCAGAACCUGAUGGAUUCUUUAGCACUAGUUCUUGUAAUUUCGUGUUCUUCUCAUCUUCAGAAAGACCUUUGUUGCUUAAAAUCUGACGCCUCUUGACUGCAAGGUCUUUAAUUUCUUUUAAAAAUCUGGCUCUGUGUGGGUUUACUAGUUCAAAGUCUUCCCAAGUUAAAAUUCCAUUAAACCAAGCUGGGGGUUUGGGUUUGGGGGGAUCUAGAAUAAACUCUGAUUUUGAAUCCUCUUCAAAGCUUCCUACUGAGAGUGAAUCAUGACCUUCUUCUGUAGAAGCUUCAGACUGACUUUCAGUACAAUGUAAGUCUCUAUCACCUCGUGACUCAUAAAUUAAUUUACUCAUGUUGCUUUUAAUAUCACCCAUGCACAUAAGUUUAAAGAAAGGUUUAGAAAUAGGUAAGUCCACAAGUCUAUUGUCUUGAAUGCAUUUGGCCAAGAAAAUUCCAAGGAAAUGAAAGAGUUUCGUGAUCCUUUCAAGCUCAUCACUGUCUUGCGGAAAUGGUGCUGUGAACAGUCCACACGAUCUCUGCACAUAGUAUCCAGGAGGUUUCAAUCCACCUCCAAGAUCAACCUAAUUUUUAGAGGGAGAAAUAUAAAUAAAAUUAGAUAAAAGAUGCAUAAAUAUUAAACAUCUUCAUCAACUUAGUUAUCUUAAAGUAUUUAUAUAUACUCCCUUUUAUUAAAUAGUUUUUGGUGACUGAAUUUUAUCCUUUAAAACCCUUUUAGGAGCAUCAAGAAUCAUCAAUAAUAAUAAGAGAGCCAGAGGAACUCCUAGGUGGCUCAGUCAGUUAAAUGUCUGUCCUGGGAGGGAGCCCCAUGUCCAGCUCCCCACUCAGUGGGGAGUCUGCUUGCUCCCUCUCCCUCUGCCUUUCCCUUUGUGCUCUCUCUCAGAUAAAUGAAAUCUUUAAAAAAUAAACUCAGAAAACUUGGCUUAAAUUCUGAAAGCAUAACCUAUUCUUACUACUAAAAGCAGAAUUACAAAUAAUCACAAAUUGGGAAAUAAAUCUUACAUGACGAGAUUCAUCAUCUGGAAAGUUAUCAUCACAAAGCCAAGCUCCCAAAUCAGUUCUCUGGAAUUCUGCUGCCACCAGAGCAUAAAACUCUAAUGUAGGGCCCAAACCAGUUCCUUCCUCUCCUAAAAAUUCAACCUAAAAUAUAAACAAAUUGUGGGGAAAAUUGAGCUUAAAAAAUUUUUCUCAAAUGAUCUCAUUUUUGCCAAGUAAUACAUCUUUUUCUUACAACAGCAGAAUAUUAUAAACAACACAUUUGUAAACACACAAGUUUUAUUCUAGUUUUUCUAAAGAGUGUAUUUGUUGUAUACCAUUACAUAUUUAAACACUGUGGUAAGCAUUGUUAAUACAUUAAUUUAUUUCUCACACCCCAUCCUACAAAAAUAGAUUUUCCUCUCUUUACACCAAAGGAAACCAAAUUUUAUUUUAUUUUAUUUUAUUUUUUUUAGGAAACCAAAUUUUAGAUAAAAAGGUUACAUCAUUUGCUUGAGGAAAAGACGGCAUACAGAUUUUUAUGUAUGUCUAUAUAACACGUUUAAAACCCAAACUCUUCCACUUAUUCCUGACUUUAGGUAGUCACUUUAAAGCUUUUUAUCAAAAAAAAAUUAAAGAAAUAAAAUUAAAAAAAUAAAGCUUUUUAUCCAUACUCUACAUAUUCCACAAAUGACUUGAGGCAGCUUACAAAAACCUAAUGCAUGGUAAAAAAUAAAUAAAUAAAUAAAUAAUUGAGGUUUAUCUAGUUAGAGGAAUAUAUGGGUAAGAAGAAUAAGAUGAAGGCAGAGAUUAUUAUUAUUAUUAUUAUUAUUAUUAUUAUUUUAUUGGUAAAGAGAGUUUAAAGUGAAAACCCUAAGAGUCUUAUAUAUUUUCUAGAGAUACACCAUAUUUGUCAUGAUCAGUCUCUGAUCAAAAAGAUAAACUAAGCAGCUGGUUCACAUUUAUGACAGGAGACAGAUGUGUUCCAUUGUGCCUAUAAGGAAUAAUGGAUAUAUAGGAUAUAAUGGACAAUGCCUACAAUAACAUCUCUACACUUUAAGAAGGGAAUAUGUCCUUCAAAAAGGCCAAGCACUUUCUCACCUCAAGGACAGAGAUACUCUUUGCUGCCCACCAAACCACAAGAUCCUGACCUCUCUGAAGAAGUUGAAUGUUGUUGAACAUGCAGGUUUGCUGGUUUUCUGUCAUUUGUACACACUAAAAGAAAUUAUAUGCGAGGUACCUCAAGAACUGAUUUCCGGUCUGCAUGAAUUUGCAUGACGUUUUCAGCCCAUUCCAUCAGUGAUUCACCACGUGGAACUUUUACUCUUUCAUGCUUGAGACGACCCACUCGAAACUCUCCAGGAUCAUCUCGCCUUACACUACUGGUGGUUCUUGUUCUUUCCACAGUGGCUUCACGUCGGUUUUGUAACCACACUAUUGCUCUAAAACAGAAAAAUAUUUAUGUAGUUGUAACAUUCAGUAAUAGUUUGAAUGUGCUACUAACCCAGGAACAUAAUUCAAAGAUUUCACUAUUCUUUUAAGUAGUAUUAAGUGAUAAAAUUAGUUGUAAAACAAACAAGUGAUAAAAUUAGUAAAUUCUUUUAUUGCAUAAAUUAUUGCUUCCUCUCUUAAAACAUAUAAAUCCCUUUAUUAAUUUCCUUUUUUUUUUUCCUUUAUUAUUUUCCUAAACAAAUUAAGAAAAUACUUAGGUCUAAAUUUUCCUUACUUUAGUAAUUAACAGAUCAAAAUAAAGGUCCAUGGUCCCAAUCCUACAUAACAUAAAAAUAUAUACAAAUAUAAAAAUAUAUACAAACUUCGGAUGAAAGGAAGAGCAUCAGGAAUACAAUCAGUAGUAUUAUAAUAACACUGUAUAGUUGACAUAUGGUUGCUACAAUUGUGAGCAUAGCAUAAUGUACAGAGUUGCUGAAUCACUGUUGUACACCUGCCAUUAAUGUAACAUGGUAUGUCAACUAUACUUCAAUUAAAAAAUAGACAAAUUUAUGAUACAUAAAAAAUAUAAAUGAAUAUUUCUUAACUAUCAGAGAAACUAAAAAAUGGUUAAGCUAUCUUUGUUACUAUGAUACAAACUGAAAGCCAUCAUUAUAAUGCAAUUGAUUUUAAAAUAUUUUCUUUUGGGGCAGGUGGUUGGCUCAGUUGGUAGAGCAUGAGACUCUUGGUCUCAGUUUGAGCCAUGCUGUAUGGAGAGACUAUUUAAAAAUAAAAUCUUUACGGGUGUCUGGGUGGCUCAGUUGGUUAAGUCCAACUCUUGAUUUUGGCUCAGGUCUUGAUCUUAGGGUUGUGGGAUCGAGCCCCACUUGGGGCUCUG